rnacentral:lncRNA from 1 species
AGCAGUUAGCAUGAGUUUUUUUCAACUAUCCCCAAAUGAAGACUCAAGCAAUAAGAGGAGACAAUAUACAAACGACCAUGUCUAUACAAGAUUGUUAGAGGGUAAAUAGAAGGCAAAUUCCUGAAGAAGAGGACUCUGGAAGAAGCAAGUAUGGGAAGCCAAAUCUAAAUCUGGGCCAGGUCUUUAUCAACUAUGCUAUGCUGCCUCUCAUCUUCAUCAUGCAUGAUAAAUGUGGAAAUAUAUUUAGAAGAAUGGCAUAUAUUUUGAC